AGCAUAUGUAGAAAAGGGAGAAAUUAUUGCUUUAAAUUAUGUCUUUUUCUCCUCUCUGUAAAUUAUUCAUAAAAUGAUUCUUAGGUACAAUGUAGCUUUCUUUUAGGCCCCUCAAAGUCUUGAAGCCAUCUUUCUUCAGUGUAACUAGUUUAUCUUCAAUCCUUGAUGUAGAUACUGAUGCCACUUAAUGCUGUUUGGGAACACUGGCCAAGACACGGAUGAGAAGUCCAAAUUCUCCAACCCUCCAAAGUUUACAAGAGACUAUUAGGGCCCUUGAUUGAUUAGAUCAGCCCUCCAUCCAGACACAAUUAG
rnacentral:lncRNA from 1 species